rnacentral:rRNA from 1 species
UACGACUACAUAUCAGGCAUAUCAAUAAGCGGAGGAAAAGAAACUAACAAGGAUUCCCCUAGUAACGGCGAGUGAAGCGGGAAGAGCUCAAAUUUGAAAUCUUCAAGGUUCUACCUUGACGAAUUGUAGUUUAAAGAAGUGUUUUCUGUUAGAUGAGUAGCAAAAGUUCCUUGGAAUGGGACAUCAUAGAGGGUGAGAAUCCCGUAUUUGACCGUUACUUUCCAGCUGUGUGAUACACUUUCAAAGAGUCGGAUUGUUUGGGAAUGCAGUCCAAGAUGGGUGGUAAAUUUCAUCUAAAGCUAAAUAUUGGCGAGAGACCGAUAGCGAACAAGUACCGUGAGGGAAAGAUGAAAAGAACUUUGAAAAGAGAGUUAAACAGUACGUGAAAUUGUCAAAAGGGAAGCGUUUGACACCAGUGUUGUUUAGUUGAAAAUCAAUUCAAUAGUUUUUGAUUCUAAGUAGUAUUGACUUCAUCAGCUUGCUGCUUUCUUCUCAGAAAUUAUUGAAUGCACUUUUCAGUUAACAAGUCAACAUCAAUUUCUUUUGUUGUAAAAGGGUAAGAGGAAGGUGGCUUGCGCUUCGGCUCAAGUGUUUAUAGCCUUUUAUCUCUGCAAUCGGAGAGAUUGAGGUCUGCAGCGUAGAUCCUUCGGGGUUAGAUACAUUGGUGCUAAGCUAUAGCCUUGUAUAGACAACUUGUUGACUAUGCUCAGUCAUGUAGCUUACUCGCUGAUGCUAUUUUACCUACGCUUAGGAUGUUGAGUAGCGACAUACGCAC